UGGGGAAUAUUGGACAAUGGGCGAAAGCCUGAUCCAGCCAUGCCGCGUGUGUGAAGAAGGUCUUCGGAUUGUAAAGCACUUUAAGUUGGGAGGAAGGGCAGUAAGUUAAUACCUUGCUGUUUUGACGUUACCAACAGAAUAAGCACCGGCUAACUUCGUGCCAGCAGCCGCGGUAAUACGAAGGGUGCAAGCGUUAAUCGGAAUUACUGGGCGUAAAGCGCGCGUAGGUGGUUUGGUAAGAUGGAUGUGAAAUCCCCGGGCUCAACCUGGGAACUGCAUCCAUAACUGCCUGACUAGAGUACGGUAGAGGGUGGUGGAAUUUCCUGUGUAGCGGUGAAAUGCGUAGAUAUAGGAAGGAACACCAGUGGCGAAGGCGACCACCUGGACUGAUACUGACACUGAGGUGCGAAAGCGUGGGAGCAAACA
rnacentral:rRNA from 1 species